UUAAAAGGAAUCAUCGGCAACAACAAUUCAUACGAUUCAGAACAGUCUAGCCAGGACGUCUGAUUAUCAAAUAUACGAAAAGUACUACUGUGGUACCACCUACAACAUAACGAAAAUGCUAUCUAAAGAAUUGAUGGUAACCAUGCUUGUGGUAUUGGCACUAAUUUAUAGUGCCAUAGCUUGUAACGGAUUUGACAGUCCAUGCACUGGACCUAAUGGUCAACAAGGCAGUUGUUGUGGGGGCAUGCAUUGUCAGAAAAAUGACCCCUCUUGGGCACAAGGACGGUGUUACUAUAAUCCUGGAAAGUAACUGAUAAAUAUGCACUACUAACACAUAUUAAAAUAAUCAGUAAAUCACUGAAGAAAAUAAAAAAUGACCAAAUAAAAAAUCAAAA